rnacentral:rRNA from 1 species
UUAGGAAUUUUGCGCAAUGGGGGAAACCCUGACGCAGCCACGCCGCGUGCGGGAUGAAGGCCUUCGGGUCGUAAACCGCUUUUGUCGAGGAAGAACGCAAUGACGGUACUCGGCGAAUAAGCAACGGCUAACUACGUG